rnacentral:rRNA from 1 species
GGAAACGGUAGCUAAUACCGCAUAACGUCGCAAGACCAAAGAGGGGGACCUUCGGGCCUCUUGCCAUCGGAUGAGCCCAGAUGGGAUUAGCUAGUAGGUGGGGUAACGGCUCACCUAGGCGACGAUCCCUAGCUGGUCUGAGAGGAUGACCAGCCACACUGGAACUGAGACACGGUCCAGACUCCUACGGGAGGCAGCAGUGGGGAAUAUUGCACAAUGGGCGCAAGCCUGAUGCAGCCAUGCCGCGUGUAUGAAGAAGGCCUUCGGGUUGUAAAGUACUUUCAGCGGGGAGGAAGGGAGUAAAGUUAAUACCUUUGCUCAUUGACGUUACCCGCAGAAGAAGCACCGGCUAACUCCGUGCCAGCAGCCGCGGUAAUACGGAGGGUGCAAGCGUUAAUCGGAAUUACUGGGCGUAAAGCGCACGCAGGCGGUUUGUUAAGUCAGAUGUGAAAUCCCCGGGCUCAACCUGGGAACUGCAUCUGAUACUGGCAAGCUUGAGUCUCGUAGAGGGGGGUAGAAUUCCAGGUGUAGCGGUGAAAUGCGUAGAGAUCUGGAGGAAUACCGGUGGCGAAGGCGGCCCCCUGGACGAAGACUGACGCUCAGGUGCGAAAGCGUGGGGGGCAAACAGGAUUAGAUACCCUGGUAGUCCACGCCGUAAACGAUGUCGACUUGGAGGUUGUGCCCUUGAGGCGUGGCUUCCGGAGCUAACGCGUUAAGUCGACCGCCUGGGGAGUACGGCCGCAAGGUUAAAACUCAAAUGAAUUGACGGGGGCCCGCACAAGCGGUGGAGCAUGUGGUUUAAUUCGAUGCAACGCGAAGAACCUUACCUGGUCUUGACAUCCACGGAAGUUUUCAGAGAUGAGAAUGUGCCUUCGGGAACCGUGAGACAGGUGCUGCAUGGCUGUCGUCAGCUCGUGUUGUGAAAUGUUGGGUUAAGUCCCGCAACGAGCGCAACCCUUCCUUUGUUGCCAGCGGUCCGGCCGGGAACUCAAAGGAGACUGCCAGUGAUAAACUGGAGGAAGGUGGGGAUGACGUCAAGUCAUCAUGGCCCUUACGACCAGGGCUACACACGUGCUACAAUGGCGCAUACAAAGAGAAGCGACCUCGCGAGAGCAAGCGGACCUCAUAAAGUGCGUCGUAGUCCGGAUUGGAGUCUGCAACUCGACUCCAUGAAGUCGGAAUCGCUAGUAAUCGUGGAUCAGAAUGCCACGGUGAAUACGUUCCCGGGCCUUGUACACACCGCCCGUCACACCAUGGGAGUGGGUUGCAAAAGAAGUAGGUAGCUUAACCUUCGGGAGGGCGCUUACCACUUUGUGAUUCAUGACUGGGGUGAAGUCGGAACAAGGUA